rnacentral:tRNA from 1 species
GCGAGAGUGCCGGAGUGGUCAAAUGGGGUAGACUCAAAAUCUACUGGCUUAGUGCCUACGAAGGUUCGAAUCCUUUCUCUCGCA